rnacentral:snRNA from 1 species
UAGAGAACAUUCGCUAUAGAG